GACAGAGGGUGCAAACGUUGUUCGGAAUUACUGGGCGUAAAGCGCGUGUAGGCGGCUCGGAAAGUCGGAUGUGAAAGCCCUGGGCUUAACCUAGGAAGUGCAUUCGAAACUCCCGAGCUUGAGUUCUGGAGAGGAAGGCGGAAUUCUCGGUGUAGAGGUGAAAUUCGUAGAUAUCGAGAGGAACACCGGUGGCGAAGGCGGCCUUCUGGACAGUGACUGACGCUGAGGCUCGAAAGCAUGGGGAGCAAACAGG
rnacentral:rRNA from 1 species